rnacentral:lncRNA from 1 species
AAGAGACCAGGUUCUAUGGGCUGGGAGAGAUUUCUCCAAAUGUUGGCUUGGGUAGCAGCCUGCAAUAGAAUAAGUGUUUGGAGAGAUGUUAUUGACUCAGCUACAAUGUUCAGAAGGUCUUCAGCAGAGUCAUUUAGCCUUAAUAUGGUAUCCAAAAACAGCUUGCUUUGUUGUUUUUCUCUAGGUGUGUCUGUGUUACCAGGGAAGGACCGGAGAGCUGAAUUUCCACUUGUCCAGUGCUAGCAGCUCAGCAUGGAAAUGUUACGAUUACACUUUGCAUCCUAUAAACCUCUCCAUGCCUACAAGAUUAGAGAUGUAAUAUCAGCACUGCUAUUAGAUGGCACAUUUUUGAAAGAGACCCUGCUUCACCUCCUCAAAUGGAACAUUUGGGACUUCCUGUCUAAACAAUGGAAAAUAAAGCCAGUGCAGAUGUUCACACAAAGAGCCCUGCCACCCUGCUCCACACCCAGGGAAGGUAAGCACACCUCUGGACACAAUCAUAUAUCUCCAAAAUGCCUAUUGUCAUUGACGAUGCCACAAUGAAGAUUACUCGUGAAUGCUCAUUUCUCUGAAGGCUUAUGAAGACAUCAGCUAUUUUUGCCAGCUUUGUUAUUCUCUUAUAUAUAAUUAAAAAAAAAAAAAAAAAAGUGGAAAUGGCCAAUUAUAAUUUGAUAGCUAAACACAUUUAUUAAUCUAUUAUAUUGUGUUAAUCAAGCUAGCUGUUCAAAGCCAAAUGGAUUCAUGUGUUUAUAACAGCUUAAAUAUGAUCAGUGUUCAAUCAUUUUUUAGCACAAUCAUAGUCUGAAAUGACUGUUGAAUUUCUAGAUCCAUGUCUCAGACAGCUCUGUAAACUCACCAUUCCUUGGAUGUAUUUCCUAGCAUUUAAACCUCUUGUGCUUGGAAUAGCAGCUGCUUUAAAAAUAAUAGACAAGGGAUUGUCGUAUCUAAUGGUGAAUCUUAAAACUUGUUUGGGUUUCUUCUGUUGUCUGAAAACAAAAUUGCAAUUUGGAAUUUAGUUUGAGUCUUGGAAAUGUAAAUAACUAAGGUCUAUCAGGAAAACAGCAGUGGUCCUACACGAUUAAUGAUUAUAGCAAAAUCAGGCUGGCUGCAAUACUGUAAAUAAUUUUUAUAUGGCAUCAGAAUGUAGCUGGCUUGUGAGCCUUGCUGUUAUGUAUCUAAAAUAAAACAUGGAUGAAAGUUAUCUCUGUCUCUCA